UCUCUAAUAUCUAAUUCACCAUCUAGGUC
rnacentral:sRNA from 1 species